GCUGGGCAUGGUGGCUCAUGCCUGUAAUCCCAGCUACUCUGGAGGCUGAGGCAGGAGAAUCGCUUGAACCAGGGAGUCAGAGGUUGCAGUGAGCCGAGAUUGUGCCACUGCACUCCAGCCUGGGUGACAGAGCGAGACUCUGUCUCAA
ensembl:misc_RNA Metazoa_SRP Metazoan signal recognition particle RNA